rnacentral:rRNA from 1 species
GACGAACGCUGGCGGCGUGCCUAAUACAUGCAAGUAGAACGCUGAAGGAGGAGCUUGCUCUUCUGGAUGAGUUGCGAACGGGUGAGUAACGCGUAGGUAACCUGCCUGGUAGCGGGGGAUAACUAUUGGAAACGAUAGCUAAUACCGCAUAACAUUGACUAUUGCAUGAUAGUCAAUUGAAAGGUGCAAAUGCACCACUACCAGAUGGACCUGCGUUGUAUUAGCUAGUUGGUGGGGUAACGGCUCACCAAGGCUACGAUACAUAGCCGACCUGAGAGGGUGAUCGGCCACACUGGGACUGAGACACGGCCCAGACUCCUACGGGAGGCAGCAGUAGGGAAUCUUCGGCAAUGGACGGAAGUCUGACCGAGCAACGCCGCGUGAGUGAAGAAGGUUUUCGGAUCGUAAAGCUCUGUUGUAAGAGAAGAACGAGUGUGAGAGUGGAAAGUUCACACUGUGACGG